rnacentral:rRNA from 1 species
GACGAACGCUGGCGGCGUGCUUAACACAUGCAAGUCGAACGGUGAAGCGAGUGCUUGCACUCGUGGAUCAGUGGCGAACGGGUGAGUAACACGUGAGUAACCUGCCCACCACUCUGGGAUAAGCACUGGAAACGGUGUCUAAUACUGGAUACGACCAACCCUUGCAUGGGGUGUUGGUGGAAAGAUUUAUCGGUGAUGGAUGGACUCGCGGCCUAUCAGCUUGUUGGCGGGGUAAUGGCCCACCAAGGCGACGACGGGUAGCCGGCCUGAGAGGGUGACCGGCCACACUGGGACUGAGACACGGCCCAGACUCCUACGGGAGGCAGCAGUGGGGAAUAUUGCACAAUGGGCGAAAGCCUGAUGCAGCGACGCCGCGUGAGGGAUGACGGCCUUCGGGUUGUAAACCUCUUUCAGCAGGGAAGAAGCGAAAGUGACGGUACCUGCAGAAGAAGCACCGGCUAACUACGUG